UACGGAGGGUGCGAGCGUUGUCCGGAAUCACUGGGCGUAAAGGGCGCGUAGGUGGCCUGAUGAGUCAACGGUGAAAGCUCGUCGCUCAACGACGAGUCGGCCGUCGAUACUGUCGGGCUGGAGCACUGUAGAGGCUCAUGGAAUUCCGGGUGUAGCGGUGGAAUGCGUAGAGAUCCGGAAGAACACCGGUGGCGAAGGCGGUGAGCUGGGCGAGUUGCUGGACACUGAGGCGCGACAGCGUGGGGGAGCAAACAGG
rnacentral:rRNA from 1 species